CUCUCAGCAAGGCUGGCUCUGCAUGGAUCGGCAGAGGAGAUGAAAGGAUCUCAACUGCUUGCCUUGGCCCACGGCCAUCGAGGCCCACCGGUCAUUUGCUGCAGAAUUGCCCACUGGUGGGCGUUAGGGACCAGGUUCACUACCCAUAAAUUACACCUACCAUUAAUAUUAUAGACUGAUCAUUUCUUUGUUGGUGGGCAAACAGUCAACAUAAGCAGGGGAUCAAAUACUUUUUUCCCCUCACAGUAUUUAG